AGUCGAACGGCAGCACGAGAGCUUGCUCUUGGUGGCGAGUGGCGAACGGGUGAGUAAUAUAUCGGAACGUAUCCAAUAAUGGGGGAUAACUAAUCGAAAGGUUGGCUAAUACCGCAUACGCCCUACGGGGGAAAGCAGGGGAUCUUCGGACCUUGCGUUAAUGGAGCGGCUGAUAUCUGAUUAGCUAGUAGGUGAGGUAAAGGCUCACCUAGGCGACGAUCAGUAGCUGGUCUGAGAGGACGACCAGCCACACUGGAACUGAGACACGGUCCAGACUCCUACGGGAGGCAGCAGUGGGGAAUUUUGGACAAUGGGGGCAACCCUGAUCCAGCCAUUCCGCGUGAGUGAAGAAGGCCUUCGGGUUGUAAAGCUCUUUCGCAAGGGAAGAAACGAUACAGACGAAUAAUCUGUGUUAAUGACGGUACCUUGAUAAGAAGCACCGGCUAACUACGUGCCAGCAGCCGCGGUAAUACGUAGGGUGCGAGCGUUAAUCGGAAUUACUGGGCGUAAAGCGUGCGCAGGCGGUUUUGAAAGUCAGAUGUGAAAUCCCCGGGCUCAACCUGGGAACUGCGUUUGAAACUCCAAAGCUAGAGUAUAGGAGAGGGGGGUAGAAUUCCACGUGUAGCAGUGAAAUGCGUAGAGAUGUGGAGGAAUACCAAUGGCGAAGGCAGCCCCCUGG
rnacentral:rRNA from 1 species